GAUGAACGCUGGCGGCGUGCCUAAUACAUGCAAGUCGAGCGAACAGAUAAGGAGCUUGCUCCUUCGACGUUAGCAGCGGACGGGUGAGUAACACGUGGGUAACCUACCUAUAAGACUGGAAUAACUCCGGGAAACCGGGGCUAAUGCCGGAUAACAUUUAGAACCGCAUGGUUCUAAAGUGAAAGAUGGUUUUACUAUCACUUAUAGAUGGACCCGCGCCGUAUUAGCUAGUUGGUAAGGUAACGGCUUACCAAGGCAACGAUACGUAGCCGACCUGAGAGGGUGAUCGGCCACACUGGAACUGAGACACGGUCCAGACUCCUACGGGAGGCAGCAGUAGGGAAUCUUCCGCAAUGGGCGAAAGCCUGACGGAGCAACGCCGCGUGAGUGAUGAAGGUCUUCGGAUCGUAAAACUCUGUUAUUAGGGAAGAACAAAUGUGUAAGUAACUGUGCACGUCUUGACGGUACCUAAUCAGAAAGCCACGGCUAACUACGUG
rnacentral:rRNA from 1 species